rnacentral:rRNA from 1 species
UACGUAGGGUGCAAGCGUUAAUCGGAAUUACUGGGCGUAAAGCGCACGUAGGUGGUUUGUUAAGCCCAGCUGUGAAAUCCCCGGGCUCAACCUGGGCACUGCAGUUGGAACUGGCAAGCUGAGAGUAGGGUAGAGGGGUGUGGAAUUCCAGGUGUAGACGGUGGAAAUGACGUAGAUAUCUGGAGGAACAUCAGUGGCGAAGGCGACACCCUGGACUCAUACUGACACUGAGGUGCGAAAGCGUGGGGAGCAAACAGG